rnacentral:miRNA from 1 species
AUAUAUAUAUAUAUGUGUGUGUGUGUGUGUGUGUGUGUGUAUACAUAUACAUAUAUACAUAUACAUAUAUAUGUAUAUAUAUAUAUA